ensembl:lncRNA
CCGCUCCAGUCUUAUUUGUCAUCACUGACCCCUGGGAAAUUUCCAGAAGAGGAAGGAAGAUAACCAGCUUCAGGAAGGCCUCCAGGUACAUCCAGUGGCCAAAGCUGGGAUGCAAGAGACUGGACUCAAGCUUGUGAAUCAGGUCAUCCUGCCACCAUCCUGAGCAUAUGGAAGAAAGAACGAGAAGGCCGAGGAAUCUGUGAGGAAAGUUGGAGGAAGAAGGUGUUGUGGGGACAACCCUCCUGGGAGCUCCAUCCACCCACCAUGAUGGCUACCCAAGCAGCAGACCCACAGAGUCUGCGUGCUUCCUCUACCUCCAGGCAGGUUUUCCUGGAACCCCAGACAGACAGAUAGUGACGUUUCUCCUCUCCAGACAGAAAC